CUUGUUCCUAAGGGUGUAUUUCAACUGAAAUCGGUACUAUUAUUGCCUCUGGAGACACGAAGGAGAGUGAGGCAGCAGUCAUAUGUGGCCGAAGAGCAUAUAGAACGAAAAUCGUGACCUGUAGCUUCUUCUGGAGUUGAGACACCGUAAACUCCAGAGGAAAACACCCAAGGAAGACAUCAACAGCAAUAACAACAAGGACAAAGGCUGGGUGUGCUGCGAAUUCCAUCCGCAUGAGAAUUUGGCAAGAGGCAAAACGAAGGGAGCUUUUCUCAUCUCCAAGUUUACAAGGCAGAGCAGCGACCUGCCACGGCCAAGGCUGUACAGAGGGGAGUUGUGGCUGGAACAGGAGGAGAGCCAGUAGUCGCAUUCCGGAGGUGGCCGAUCGCACCUUGAUGGCUCUGAGAUGUGGGAAGAACUCUGCACGUCUGGUCAGCUGGUUCUCAGUGCCUGUGUCAGAAAAAUGUGCUCACGCCUUGCCGGUGUGAUUGUGCAACCUGUCACAACCUGCCACUUUUAAAAAAAAUAAACUUUGUAAUCAGACCAUUGUUCCAAGAAACCUG
ensembl:lincRNA